CGUGGAACGAUUUGUCUGGUUUAUUCCGAUAACGAGCGAGACUCUGGCCUACUAAAUAGUGAGCGCAUUGCCUCUGUGCGCAGCACUUCUUAGAGGGAUUUUCGGUGUUCAGCCGCACGAAAUUGAGCAAUAACAGGUCUGUGAUGCCCUUAGAUGUCCGGGGCUGCACGCGCGCUACACUGGCAAAAUCAGCGUGCUUGUCCUUCGCCGAAAGGCGUUGGUAAACCCCUGAAAAUUUGCCGUGAUUGGGAUCGGAAAUUGCACUUAUUUUCCGUGAACGAGGAAUUCCAAGUAAGUGCGAGUCAUCAACCCGCGUUGAUUACGUCCCUGCCCUUUGUAC
rnacentral:rRNA from 1 species